rnacentral:lncRNA from 1 species
CAGGAGUUUCAGACCAGCCUGGGCAAUAUAGUGAGGCCCUGUCUCUGUCUAAGAAAUUUAAAAUAAAAAAAGCACUUUAUGUGCAACAGUUCUUUUAACUCUUUAAUUCUAUAAGGAAUCCAUUUUUCCUUUAAGUAGAUGAGGGCCCAGGGCCAUUAACUAAAGUAUCCAAGGUUACCUGACUUAGAGGUGAUUUUCCAAGAUCUCAAUUCAGGUCUCUCUACAUAUUUUUAAACAUUGCAUUGCCUUUCCAAAUGAACCAAUAUUUAUUAGCCAUUUUAUGCAAAUAAUUGGGCCAUGUAUUUAAAAAAUCAUUUCUUAUGUUCUUAUUUCAGCUGGUUUGCAAAGCGGCCCUGCUGGGGCUUGUAUAGGGUAAAUGAUGGGCUGAAGUUAAAGAUAUACAUAUGUAUAAGAUGUAUAGGAUGGCGUUUUGUUAACCCUGGAAAGUUAAAGAGAAUUAGAAGUUUUCAAUGUAACAUUUCCAGGCAGGAAAGUGUUAGCAUGUUAUGAAGAAUUUCCCUUCCUCUGAGCCAUUGGGCUUUUGCCAAGGCUUCAGGGUAGACGCUGCAUUAGUGGAAGAUGAAUUUGAUCCAAGAAGACAUCUUCUCAAUCCUUGUGUAAGAUUAGUCUGAGUAGGAAUCACUUGGUAACAAUUUGAAAUGGAGUUCGUUAGAUAAACAGAAAAACAUAGCUUUGUCUGGGUUGAGCCCAGAAAUGGGUGACAGAUGUUAAUGAUGAGUGACUGAACAGAUGUUUGGGGGAGAAUUACAAAAAGGGUUUCUAUCAUGCAGGAUCUAAACCUUAACCUUCCUGGCUGAUGCUGAAAGAGAGCUUGUAUGAAACACGUUCUUACAAAACUAUUUGGUGGAUCGUGACAAAGACGAAUGACUGGGUACUAUAAUUUAAAAUGGAAAAUAAGAAUUCAUGUUGAACCAUAAUCCACAAUGCAACAGUAUCAAGAGGUGUGGCCUUUAGGAGCUGAUUAGGCCACGAAGGCUCUGCCUCAUGGAUGGGAUCACCCUUAUAAAAAGACUUGAUGGAGUGCAUUCAGUCCCUUUUUUGCUCCUUCCAUUCCUUCCACCUUGUGGGAAUACAGCAUGCCCUCUGGAAGAUGCAGCAACACAGCACCAUUUUGGAUGCAGAGACCACAUUCUUGCAAGACACCAAACCUGCUAAUGCCUUGAUUUUGGACUUCCAGCCUCCAGAACUAUAAGAAAUAUAUUUCUGUUCUUUAUAAAUGACCCAGUCUCAGGUAUUUUGUUACUGCCAUAGGAACAGACUAAGACAGGGCCCAAAUUGCCCCAUCUGUGGAUUUCAGAGGUCCCUGAUCUGAAUGGCAGAAGAGGAGUUUGCUGUGCCUAUCUGCUGAACUGUACACCACUCCCGUACAAAAAGGCCAUGAGGCUCUGGCAGUGCCUGCUCUACAUACCAGGUUUGUUUGAGUAACCAAAGGACUCAUCAAAGGCUGCUUAACCACUGCUAGUUGUUAGCAGAGAUGGGCAGAAAGAAUCAUUUUCACUUCCUUGUCAUUUCCUAAAACUGCCCCUCCCAAGGAUUAGGAACAGGCACAUCCCCACCAUGAGUGAUCAGGGCUCUAUAAGGUGCAUUUGUGCAUCACAUCAACACUCAUUAAAAACAAUGAGACAGUAACUGCAAAAAGACAUUACUUCACCCCGGCAGCAAGUUCCCAGGGGCAAACUUGCCAUCUGCUAGGCAGCGCUAGGAACCAGAAAACUUUUGAAGCAAUUCAGUUGGAUCCUCCAGCUUUGAAGCAUCUGGUUGGUAACUGUGCUAUCAGCAUGAAGUUACCUUCUCAGUUUCAAACACCCCAGUGUUGGAACCUGAAGAUAGAAUUCCUGUGGUUUAGACACAAAUGCCUGCUACUAGGAUUUACAGAUGGGGCUCUCCUUUAAGUCUUAGGAGACAUGGCUCAGAAAUGAUCAUGCAAUCUCUCAACAAUUUCUCAGGAAUGACCAACAGUCUCUCAGAAUACAGCAAAACAUCUGUUUCUUACAUGUAACUCCACCGAACACAGGCUGCCUUCCCCAUACACAUGUUUUUCUGGCGGGGAUUGUAUGACAUGUGAAUUCAAAGGACCAUUUCUUUUGCCCCAUGACAAGCCUUUCAGAGGGUGAAGUGCUUGGAUUUAGAGUGAUUCUCCUUAGAGGAUUUACCCCCAGUUGUUGAAAUAUGGCAAAUACCAAGUGUCCACGAUUUAUUAUAAGACAAUAAAGUGAUUGUUCCUUAUGGAGUACUCCCUACACUCUGGAGAAAAGCAAA